rnacentral:lncRNA from 1 species
GGCGCGCCGGCUCCACCGUCUUCUCACCUUGGAUUGCUUCUGUCUUCUUGGAGGCAAAGAACGACAAGCCAGCCAAGUUGCGAGACGAGAGGAAAGAGGGCAAAGCGCCGACGGAGACAGGAGCUGAACGCGGGAGAGGAGCGACGACGGAAUUUGCAUGCGCGAGAGUCCCCUGACCCACCCAGCGAGCACCGAGGCGAAGCUGCCUGGCGGCGAUCGGAGACGCGAGGAAGGACGCAUCCGGCUUCUUUGAUCGAUUCGCCCUGAAGAUCGACGCGAGCAGCGUCAUCUUUUCGUUGUUGGAGAUCUGCGAGAAAGAGGAAGGUGCCCCCGAAGACGGGAACCGAAGUGCGGCGGGAGCCCUCAUGGUGGGUGUCCGAGACAUGCGCUUUUUCUUAAAAUGGAUCCCUGUUUUUGCCUGAGACUGUGCCGCACAAAACGGGUACAUACACGGAAGGACUGCCGAACAACAGAGAGGCGCGCCGAGCAGAGAAUGCUUCACGAUUCACAUUCCGCACAGCGAGGAGAGGCGCAGAGGGACGUGUGUGCGCAGGCGAGGAGAGGUUCAAGGAGCUCUUGUGGGCAAAGCGAACUUCUGUUCUUUCGGCAGCGAAGGUCUUCCAAAACGGAACGAGAAACACAUCAGCCUGGUAGUCCCAGGAACAAUGCACUGGUGUUGGGCAGCGGCGAAAAAACUCGAGAAGGACACCCAAACUCGUCUCUAUCAGAGGACGAUUUGCGUCCCGGGGAAAGACUGAUCUACAGGACGAGCACAGAAGAAUGAAAGACGACGCUUCUGACCUGCGAUUUUGAGAGGCAACUGGCAAAAGACCCCCGCCGCACAACGUCUUGCGUGUGUGUCGCGAAAAAUGUGCAGGCGCAUGCAGAAUCGAAAAAUCCAAGUCCCUCAGAAGCGCGUUCGAGGGCGUGACCCCUCUUUCGUGUUCGAACUCGACUUGAGGCAAAGCCUCUGUCUAUCGUCACACUAAAGCAGAGCAUCAAAAGAGAAGGCUGAGAGAGGCGCAGUUGUUUCGGAUUGCAAAGGGAAACACCGCGAAAGCGAAAGGGUUGUCUUUGCAUGCGCGCAUCGUCGGUGGAGUUGAAAUGAAAGACCUGGAGAGCCACAGAGACACACCCGCGCAGCGUCGCACGCGGGCUGAAAGAGUCUUCUACUCCCUGAAGAGAGACUCGUGGAAAUGUCUGUAUCCGUGGCAGAUGCACAGACGGCGAAGCUGUGCUACACUGACGGCUGCCGGCGCCUACUAAUUUAGUGCAGAAUGUGAGGGAACGAACUUCCCCGGCACACGUACGAUUCUCGAGUGGACGUGUUCGAUCAAAAGGACGGAACACUGAAGAAAGCAAAAGUCAAAAAGGGAACCCCUAAAACGCCGUCCGGCCAUUCGAAUCCUCAGAGUGCUUCGAGGCGUGCCGAUCCGCUCUCCUGGUGUACAUACACCCGACGAACAGCAAUCACUAGCAGGCUUCUGCAAAUCAGAAGUUUCUUUCGCGCCCCUCUAAACCCUGCCUCCGUGUCUUGUUGACAAAAGUGUGCAGCCUGUUUGAUGCACUCGCUGCUUCUGCUCCCCUCUUCAUCUUCCAGAAGCUCCCGUCGUUUUUGUGAGUUCCCUAGGUUAUGCAUCUGUUCUGGCGCGAAGUUAAGGGGGAAUUCGGCAGUCGUCGUGUCCCAACAAGGCGGUAGCAGAGAUCCGAGUAUCAUUGGUGAACGCUUUAAAAAAGGAACGCCAACCAACUUGUGUUCCUCCUAACGAGUCUCUGUGUGUACAAGGGGGGGCUGUAUGUUCGAGGUUUUCCGCGUGGGAACAACACCUGAGAAACACGACUUUCCUGAAGUGUGCGUGGGGGCAUGUGCUGCCUUCAGAGGAGGUCUGCAUUUGGGCGG